rnacentral:rRNA from 1 species
CCCUUAGAUGCUCUGGGCCGCACGCGCGCUACACUGACGAAUGCAACGAGCUUAUAACCUUGUCCGAAAGGUCUGGGUAAUCUCCAAAUUUCGUCGUGAUGGGGAUAGAUUAUUGCAAUUAUUAAUCUUCAACGAGGAAUGCCUAGUAAGCGCAAGUCAUCAGCUUGCGUUGAUUACGUCCCUGCCCUUUGUACACACCGCCCGUCGCUCCUACCGAUUGAAUGGUCCGGUGAAGCGUUCGGACCGUGGCCUUUGGACGGUUCGCCGUCUGUUGGCUGCGGGAAGUUCGUUAAACCUUAUCAUUUAGAGGAAGGAGAAGUCGUAACA